CAAAUCCUGCCUUCUUUCAACCAUACUACACUGUCUCUCAAUUUCAGCAUUAACGUUGUUCCACUGCCAUCUGGGCAUCAUUUUGGACAUGGCAACUACCAGUACUACCAAUCAGGUAACAUUUGGAUCUUAACAGAAGCUUUCACUGAUUGACAGAGUCAAUGCACAGAAAUAAUUUCAGGAAGUACAGCCUUUUUCUGGUGUCCCUCGAAUGACAUCACCUACACAGAAGCUGGGAGGCAAGAGCGAGGGCUUCCAAGACAUUUAAAAAGGUACUGUGCUGACUGCCGGAGAUAGGUAUUUAUACAAGCAAAAAGAAAGAGUCCCUGCCUGCAAGAAGCUGACAUUCUAAUGGGGAAAGACAACCAUGGAAAUGCCGGAACCAGUUCCAAUGGACUCAGGAGAGCUGAUUGUUAAGUUUUCAGAGUGAGAAUUCACUCCUC